rnacentral:miRNA from 1 species
GCGGAGUCGCACACGUAGCGCAG